rnacentral:rRNA from 1 species
CCUACGGGUGGCUGCAGUGGGGAAUAUUGGACAAUGGGGGGAACCCUGAUCCAGCCAUGCCGCGUGUGUGAAGAAGGCCCUCGGGUUGUAAAGCACUUUCAGUGAGGAAGAACGCCUGGUGGUUAAUACCCAUCAGGAAAGACAUCACUCACAGAAGAAGCACCGGCUAACUCCGUGCCAGCAGCCGCGGUAAUACGGAGGGUGCGAGCGUUAAUCGGAAUUACUGGGCGUAAAGCGCGCGUAGAUGGCUUGAUAAGCCGGUUGUGAAAGCCCCGGGCUCAACCUGGGAACGGCAUCCGGAACUGUCAAGCUAGAGUGCAGGAGAGGAAGGUAGAAUUCCCGGUGUAGCGGUGAAAUGCGUAGAGAUCGGGAGGAAUACCAGUGGCGAAGGCGGCCUUCUGGACUGACACUGACACUGAGGUGCGAAAGCGUGGGUAGCAAACAGGAUUAGAUACCCGAGUAGUC